CCAAAAGUAAUACUUUCUGCUUUUUUCUUCAACAAUUAAAUUUUUUGUUCUUUGAUUCCUCGAUUGAGCUCUUUAGUUUCUCGACUCUCGAUUUGAUUACAUCGUUCUCAUAAAGAAGCUGGGAUUUCUCUUGCUUCAGUAUCGCUAUCUUCUAUUUUAAUGCAAAGGUUUUCGACGCAACAUCGGAUGUUUCAUCGACGGCGAUCUCCACUGGCGCAUCGUCAUAAACCUCAUCAUUGGUAAUGUUUUCAUCCGCCAUUGUCAAACCUGAAAAUAGUAAGCAAAAUU
rnacentral:lncRNA from 1 species